rnacentral:rRNA from 1 species
CGCAUAAGAUUGUAGUAUCGCAUGAUAUAGCAAUUAAAGGAGCAAUCCGCUAUAAGAUGGACCCGCGUCGCAUUAGCUAGUUGGUGAGGUAAUGGCUCACCAAGGCGACGAUGCGUAGCCGACCUGAGAGGGUGAUCGGCCACAUUGGGACUGAGACACGGCCCAGACUCCUACGGGAGGCAGCAUG